rnacentral:rRNA from 1 species
GAUUAAGUUAUUAAGGGCGCACGGUGGAUGCCUUGGCACUAGAAGCCGAUGAAGGACGUUACUAACGACGAUAUGCUUUGGGGAGCUGUAAGUAAGCUUUGAUCCAGAGAUUUCCGAAUGGGGAAACCCAGCAUGAGUUAUGUCAUGUUAUCGAUAUGUGAAUACAUAGCAUAUCAGAAGGCACACCCGGAGAACUGAAACAUCUUAGUACCCGGAGGAAGAGAAAGAAAAUUCGAUUCCCUUAGUAGCGGCGAGCGAAACGGGAAGAGCCCAAACCAACAAGCUUGCUUGUUGGGGUUGUAGGACACUCUAUACGGAGUUACAAAGGACGACAUUAGACGAAUCAUCUGGAAAGAUGAAUCAAAGAAGGUAAUAAUCCUGUAGUCGAAAAUGUUGUCUCUCUUGAGUGGAUCCUGAGUACGACGGAGCACGUGAAAUUCCGUCGGAAUCUGGGAGGACCAUCUCCUAAGGCUAAAUACUCUCUAGUGACCGAUAGUGAACCAGUACCGUGAGGGAAAGGUGAAAAGCACCCCGGAAGGGGAGUGAAAUAGAACCUGAAACCGUGUGCUUACAAGUAGUCAGAGCCCGUUAAUGGGUGAUGGCGUGCCUUUUGUAGAAUGAACCGGCGAGUUACGAUUUGAUGCAAGGUUAAGCAGUAAAUGUGGAGCCGUAGCGAAAGCGAGUCUGAAUAGGGCGUUUAGUAUUUGGUCGUAGACCCGAAACCAGGUGAUCUACCCUUGGUCAGGUUGAAGUUCAGGUAACACUGAAUGGAGGACCGAACCGACUUACGUUGAAAAGUGAGCGGAUGAACUGAGGGUAGCGGAGAAAUUCCAAUCGAACCUGGAGAUAGCUGGUUCUCUCCGAAAUAGCUUUAGGGCUAGCCUCAAGUGAUGAUUAUUGGAGGUAGAGCACUGUUUGGACGAGGGGCCCCUCUCGGGUUACCGAAUUCAGACAAACUCCGAAUGCCAAUUAAUUUAACUUGGGAGUCAGAACAUGGGUGAUAAGGUCCGUGUUCGAAAGGGAAACAGCCCAGACCACCAGCUAAGGUCCCAAAAUAUAUGUUAAGUGGAAAAGGAUGUGGCGUUGCCCAGACAACUAGGAUGUUGGCUUAGAAGCAGCCAUCAUUUAAAGAGUGCGUAAUAGCUCACUAGUCGAGUGACACUGCGCCGAAAAUGUACCGGGGCUAAACAUAUUACCGAAGCUGUGGAUUGUCCUUUGGACAAUGGUAGGAGAGCGUUCUAAGGGCGUUGAAGCAUGAUCGUAAGGACAUGUGGAGCGCUUAGAAGUGAGAAUGCCGGUGUGAGUAGCGAAAGACGGGUGAGAAUCCCGUCCACCGAUUGACUAAGGUUUCCAGAGGAAGGCUCGUCCGCUCUGGGU